UACGUAGGGUGCAAGCGUUGUCCGGAAUUAUUGGGCGUAAAGAGCUCGUAGGCGGUCUGUCGCGUCGGAUGUGAAAACGUCGGGGCUCCAACCCCGAGCCUGCAUUCGAUACGGGCAGACUAGAGUUCGGUAGGGGAGACUGGAAUUCCUGGUGUAGCGGUGAAAUGCGCAGAUAUCAGGAGGAACACCUAUUGCGAAGGCAGCUCGCUGGGACGUUACUGACGCUGAGACGCGAAAGCGUGGGGAGCAAACAGG
rnacentral:rRNA from 1 species